rnacentral:tRNA from 1 species
GCCGGCGUAGCUCAGUGGUAGAGCAACAGUUUCGUAAACUGUAGGUCGGAGGUUCGACUCCUCUCGCCGGCUCCA